AGAGUUUGAUCAUGGCUCAGAGCGAACGCUGGCGGCGUACUUAACACAUGCAAGUCGAACGAGGAUCGUCGGUGUAGCAAUACAUCGGCGGUUCUAGUGGCGCACGGGUGAGUAACACGUGGGUAACCUGCCCUUGAGUUCGGGAUACCCUCUCGAAAGGGAGGCUAAUACCGGAUACGUUCCUCGGAUUGCGAAGUCUGGGGAGGAAAGGUGGCGCAAGCUGCCGCUCUUGGAGGGGCUCGCGGCCUAUCAGCUAGUUGGUGAGGUAAUGGCUCACCAAGGCUAUGACGGGUAGCUGGUCUGAGAGGACGACCAGCCACACGGGAACUGAGACACGGUCCCGACUCCUACGGGAGGCAGCAGUGGGGAAUUUUCCGCAAUGGGCGAAAGCCUGACGGAGUGACGCCGCGUGGGGGACGAAGGCCUUCGGGUUGUAAACCCCUGUCAGAGGGAAAGAAGGGUGUCGGCGCGAUAACCGCCGUCAUCUGACGGUACCUUCAGAGGAAGCCCCGGCCAACUCUGUGCCAGCAGCCGCGGUAAUUC
rnacentral:rRNA from 1 species